GGUCUCCUUCUGUCUUCGAAACUUGCCUGACCUCCCUCUGGUUGUCUCCUGCCCCGCCCUCUGUCUCUGUCUCCCCAUCUCUGUUGCUGUCUCUGUGUCCCCUGGGACCUUGAAAGUGGGUAUUGGGGCCCCGGGAAGGGACUUUGGCCGGACUCGGGCCCCACCCGAGUGGAUCGUUAACCCAGGAUGUGAGAAGUGGCUGUGUGGAGAGGCCUCACCCCUUCCCUUCCUUUCGACCUCUCUCUGGAUCUCCCUUAUCCCCCUUCAUGGCGAAACAUCCCGAGCACAGACCUGUGUUAAUUCCACCUCCACCCCUUGCUCCCGGUGGGACCUCAGACAAGCCAUCCCCUGCCUUGAGACUCAGUUUGUUCUUCUGGAAAAUGGGACCAAUGGCAACCCCUGCCUGCUGGUGUUGUGGGGGCCACAGCAAGGGAAGAGGGGAGGAAUUCGGUUGGACAGGCUGGGGGCUGUGUUCCCUGCCCAUCCAACCCCACCCCUGGGGACCCUCAGACACAGGAGAGGGGUGUGGAGCACUAUCCCAAUGCACAGAAAGGAAAGCUGAGGUUUGGAGGGGCGAGGCUUAGGGUGGGGACCCUCAGAGGUAGGGUGGGAAGGACACCCAAGCCUGUCCCACUCCUGGCAUCCCAGGGCAGCUGGUGCAGUGGUUCCAACCUAGCAGGACUGUAGAGGGGAGAAGAUGUGAUGGGUCCGGUGGGAGCUUCGAAGGGCUGGGAGAGACGGUGCUGCUGGAAGAGAGGGUGCUGAUGGUUCUCUGAGGUUGGAAGAGGGAUAAAAGGGUCAGAAGGAGGAGGAUCUGAAGAAGGAAGAUAGGUCUGAGAGAGAAGUAGAUGGUUUAGUGGGAGGAGGGGGAGAGGAUCUGAAGGAGGAGGACAGGGUCUGUUGGAGGAGGUAAGGGUCUGAUGGAGGAAAUAAGGGUCUGAGGGUGGAGGCGAGGUUUGGAGGGAGGAGGUGAAGGUCUGAGGGAGGAGACAAGGGUCUGAAGGAGGAGAUAAGAGUCUGAGGAAGGAGGCGAGGGUUUGAGAGAGGAGGUGAGGGUCUGAAGGAGGAGGAGGAGAUAAGCAUGUGAGGAAGGAGGUGAGGGUUUGAGAGAGGAGGUGAGGGUCUAAAGGAGGAGGUAAGGGUCUGAAGGUGGAGGUGAGGUUUGGAGGGAGGAGGUGAGGGUUUGAGAGAAUAGGUGAGGGUUUGAAGGAGGAGGUAAGGGUCUGAGGGAGGAGGAGAGAGUUGGAGGGGAAAGAAGGGUCUGAGGAAAGAAGAUUUGGAGAGAGUCUGAGGGUAGAGGCCAGAUCUGAGGGAGAAGAAAGAGGCUCAGGGGAAAAGAUCUGAGGGUCCGAGGGUGGAAGGCAUGGACUAGGGGAGGAGGAGCUGGUGGGGUGGAGGGGUGGAGAGGCGUGCCUCCGGAGCCAGCAGGGACCAAGGGGAGGGAAGGGAAGGGAGGCUGGGAGGCAGCCCCGCCCUGCAGCUGUCUCUAAUUUCCCAGAAUCUUCUGCUCUCAGGAAAGUCCCAGCUCCCACAGCAGCCUCCCUCCAAUGUCGGGAACGGAGGAUGCGGAACCAGGAUGGCCACCCCCACCCUCCCCCGGCUCCUUGCACCCCAGGCGGAAAGGACUAGGGUCUCCUUUCUCUGGGCCUUGGCCUCUGGAGGGCCCCCACCCGCAGGGGCAGCCCCUGGAUGAGUCUUAGAAACUUCCCAGAGGAGGCCAGGAAGUUCUGCUUGGUGUCUAACCACUUUCCCCUCAUGCAGGCCGCCCUUUGUACCUGUUCAGAUCUCCUCCCCAGCUGCUGUUUCUUUUUCCCCAACCCAUCCUGGGGGAGGAAAGGCCAGGAAUUUACCUGCUCAAAGUCCUGAGAGGGAAACGAAAUUCCAUCUGGAAGUCUGUAGGCUUGAGGCAGCUUUCUUGCUCUCAGGGGCCUCAAUUUCCCUUUCUAAGAGGAGAGAGUAGGGCUGGUCAGGGCCUAAGUUCCCAUCUGGCUCAAUUACUGGGUCUUGUCCUGCUUUUUUUUUGAGACAAGAUCUGGCUCUGUCUCCCAGGCUGAAGUGCAGUGGUGAGAUCAUAGCUCACUGUAGCCUUGAACUCCUGGACUCAAAUGAUCCUCCUGCCUCAACCUCCCAAGUAGGUGGGACUACAGGCAUGUGCCGCAAUGACUGGCUAAUAAAAAAAACAAUUUGUAGACUCAGGGGGUCUCACUGUGUUGCCCAGGGUGUUCUCGAACUCCUGGGCUCAAGCGAACCUCCCUCCUCGGUCUCCCAAAGUGCUGGGAUUACAGGCGUGAGCCACCGCAUCUGGCUU
rnacentral:lncRNA from 1 species